rnacentral:tRNA from 1 species
GCCCGCUUAGCUCAGUUGGUUAGAGCAUGCGACUGUUAAUCGCAGGGUCGAAAGUUCAAGUCUUUCAGCGGGCG